rnacentral:lncRNA from 1 species
CGUCAAGGAUGUCUCAUGUACACCGCUAGAUGGGUGGAGAAGGUAGUAUGCAUUAGUAGCACAUAUAUCCACCAUAAUAAAUAGUUCACAUUUGACAACACAAUCACCCCGUCCAAAAUAUGAUUCUCAAGAGAGAAAGACUUUCCAAGAAAAACACAAACCGAGACCACAUGCUAGAAAGCAGCAGGAACAUUCAUUCAGGGCACAAAAAAUGUAGCAAAAGCAACAGCAACACGUAAUCCUUAUAACUAUAGGCUAAGGAUCCAACGUUGGCAUAAUUGAGCUACUUCAUAGCACCUAACACCGUCCAAUAAAAAGUAGCACAAGUACUAGAUACAUAGGAGGGUGUGAACUUGGUGUUAGCCGGUUGGACAACCUUGUGGAUCUAGAGAUCAUUUGUUAGUGAAAGCACAACUAGCAAGCACUCUUGUUAUCAAAACCAUUUCAUUUGCAACAGUAUCAUAAAAA